UGGGGAAUAUUGCACAAUGGAGGGAACUCUGAUGCAGCGACGCCGCGUGAGUGAUGAAGGAAUUCGUUUCGUAAAACUCUGUUCUAUGGGAAGAAAAGGACUGUACCACAGGAGAAAGCUCCGGCUAAAUACGUGCCAGCAGCCGCGGUAAUACGUAUGGAGCGAGCGUUGUCCGGAAUUAUUGGGCGUAAAGGGUGCGCAGGCGGCUUUACAAGUUGGAUGUGAAAUAUUGUGGCUCAACCACAAACGUGCAUCCAAAACUGCAAAGCUUGAGUUAAGGAGAGGGAAGUGGAAUUCCUGGUGUUGCGGUGGAAUGCGUAGAUAUCAAGAGGAAUACCGGUGGCGAAGGCGACUUACUGGACUUAAACUGACGCUCAGGCACGAAAGCGGGGGGAGCAAACAAG
rnacentral:rRNA from 1 species